AACCCCCAGCUAGGCUGGGGGUUCCGUAAAGCUUUCAGCUAUAAGUCAGUUAUAAAACCCCUUUCAAUUUGUUAAAACACUUUUGCGGUCUGGCAACUGCAAGAGUUAAACGAGAAUUGAAAG
rfam:Vibrio cincinnatiensis DSM 19608 genome assembly, contig: BS67DRAFT_scaffold00018.18